CAAAUAAUUUACAUGACGUGCUUUACAAUUAUAACAUGGGGAUAUGUUGGUGCUAUAUAAAUGAUAUUUGUAAUUAAUUUAAAGUGACUUAAAUUCUAGGUCAAACAGCUGAUCUGUCCAUAUAAAUGAGAAGGAGAAAUUGCCACAUGUAGUUAUUAGAGCUUUAAAUGUAAAAUUUACUUUGACGUAUUCAUGGGAUGUGAGUAUGGAACCCUGGGAGAUCUUAAACAUUUUCCUAUUAAAAUCUGAUAAUACACCUUUUAAGCAUGAGAGAAGUCAGGAAUUGGAGAGAACACUGACAUUUUAUGAAGGUCAUCUUUUGUUGCUUAAAGUGUUCUGGAAUCUUUUUAUUUUAUUUUAUUUUUUUGCUACCAUUUACUGUUUCAGAAAACCUAAUGGCGUUGCUUCCUCUGGCUGCUGCAGAAAGAUUUGCCUUGGAAGCCACUGAUAGGCUGGAAGUGUCAGCUCACACUCAGUCUAUCAAGCACUGGACACCUGUUUUGAGUAACAAUCAUCUGUUAAUCACUCAAAUGGUUAACAAAUGUUUUGACACUUCCCCUUGUCCUGUAGCCGCGGUCAUUUCAGUAGGUGUCAUACUGUCACAUUAACAUACCAACUCAUACCACCAGGGCAAAAAUGUCAUCUGUGGACUGAGCCAAUAAAUAUUGUUUAAACCAGGUAUGAGUUGUAAUAAUGUAGAAGUAUGAACUUCCACUUUAUCAAAUAAAAUAAAUGUAAAAAGUGCAUUAGUGCUCACUACAUUGUCCUUUAUUACUGAUUGGUUUUGUUCAAGUACAGACCAGCACUGCAAAGUUUAUUCACAAAAUUGUGAAUUGUGGAGAAUUGACAAGAUAACGGCAAAUUGUAGGGUAUGUUAAGUAGCGGAGUUCCCAUCUUGGAUAUUUUGUCAUUUCCUUUAAGUCUCCUUUUCGUGUAUAAUUGACGCCACGUCAGACACACUAACAGAGUUCAAUAAACUCUGGAAUGCAGUGCUUUUUUAUUCUUAAUGGCACAAUUUGGAUGAACACAGCCAAAUUGGGACUAUAGCAGAGUUGAACAAUUUCUCCAAAUCUGCUAUUUUGCCAUUCGGAUAUCAAUUAUUUACUAUUCAGAAUGAAGUAAAUUACCCAGAUGUG